AUGUCACCACAAUCGGGUACCUUAGCAAAGAGUAAUCGGCAAGGCUGUUAUUUUACUUCUCAAGAAAAAAACCAAAAGCAAACAAAAAAACCCAAAAGGAACGCAGAUUAAAACCAUUUGAAUAAUUGUGGUGGGGGAAAAAAAAAAGCCAUUUGCUUGCCCAGUAGCUCUUUCAAAGAAACGGUCUUAUUUAACAUCGUCAGCAGGCUUGGUCGAGCUGGGAAACCUGAUUUAACUAACAGAUAGAAAGUCCAGCGUUGGUGGGACCGAUGAAGAGCAAAUGGGUGCUUGUAACUGCACGAGAACCCAGCGAUCCCAGCUGGCCACCGUACUGAGCCCUGAGGACGGGGCUUGUCCUUCGCCACGAUCUGACUGCGAUGCAGAGUGGGGGUUUUGGUGAGGUUUUCUUGGCCAGGAUCAGCUGUGCCAGCGCAGACCUGGAGGUGGGAGGGCUCCCUUCUCCUUUGCUCUUACAGGGAGGAGCCAGGCAAACCAGUACCAGCACGGGCUGCAUUGCUGGCCCAAACUGGUGCCACCAGAGCCCUGGGAAGAAGCCUGGUCUCUGGGGAAGAGCUGCUUGGGUGGAUCUGUAGCUCAGGGAAGGAAAGGGUGGCUGCUCAUCUGAUUGAAGCGUGGAGGCAAGAGUUAAGCAGCAGUCACAGCAAAGACAUGUUGCACAGAGAUGGCAGUCGCCCAUCAAUGGUAAAAUAAUAACAAUAACGGUAACGUGUAAGGAGCUAGAGCUUGCAGUAGGCAAAGCUGAAAUGAGAUACGUUGCUUGCAACGGGGAAGUAUAUUGAUGCGCUAAACUAGAAAUGAAUCUUAAGAAAAGAGAUUCUGGUAGUUUUGCCUAGCAUAUUCAAACGUCACCUUUUGCAUGCCGCUGACAAGUCUUCUGCACGCAGCUGCGCAGGAGCACUGUGUCUGCGUUCGCUGGGCUUUUGAGCCUGAUGUGGAUUGAAAUCCUGGCUGUGGAAAAGCCUUCUGCGGAGCUGAGGCUUCCCCCAGUCUUUCAGGCAGCCUGUAGCUGCAAGACUCUCCAAGUUGCUUUAAUGAGCUUGUGUAUUGCAAAGGUUAGUGUGCUUUCAUAUUGCCAGCCUUACCCUGUAAAACUGGCAAUUUCUGCAGUCAUCAACCUGGUGAGGAGAAGCUGUAGCUAGAGUAGGCUGGGUACGCUUGGUCACCUUGGGUACAGGAAUUACCAAGAAAAUUAAUUUAAAAUACAUUGUUAUACUGAAAACUACUGAGAUUCAUUUUCCUAGUGACACUCUCCUACAGCUAGUAAAACCAGUUCCUUAGAGAACAGUAACUCCUAAUCUCUCUUAUAAAAAUGCUGCAGCUUUGGUCCAAAAUCAAUAGCAACAGUAUUUUCAGUAAACUGCGGUUUCGGACAAUUACUGCAAAUUACUGCUGCGUUCUAUUAGUGAGUUGCUUACAGUUGGCUACGUAGGAAAUGGCUCAUCUACUCCUCUCUGACGUUAGCAAAAGCCACUGCGUAAUAGUAAAGGGAGGAGAACUCUGGAAUUCAGGUCUGUUCAAUAACUGGAGGUCUGCAGUGCUCAGCAGCUGCCUGGAUAGAUGAGCACAAGCUUUUUUAUGCUUUUCAGCUCUGCUGCUCAUCCCUCACACAACAUAUUUAUAUAAUCUUAUACUUGCCAGUAUAUUAAAUGUUUAAUAUUCUCCUGGGACCCAGCAACUCGUUGUCUGCUGCUGCCUCCAUGAAAGAAAACUCUUUGUACAAACCAGCUUCAAUGAACUUCAUUGCUUCGAGUUCAUUGAAUUAAACCCAGCCAACUAAUGCUUACAGCCCUAAGGAAACUAGAAAAGCUUUUUUAAAUGGUCGUAAUUAGGGCAGGGCAUCCUUCUAUUUUUGCUUGUGCUGAAGGAACUUUUACAAAGAGCGAUACCCUAUGUUAGCAAGCCCUUGGCCCUGGUCCCUGGGCGUUACGGUGGGCUGUGGGACCGUGGGUAGGUGUCCAGUGAAGAGGAAAGGGUACAGACACGGUGGCGUCUGUUUUGCUAGUUUAACAUGUCCAUCACAAGGCGCUGCCUUGCUGCAGUUUGUCACAAGGUGCUGUGAUGAAGGGCGACUUGUCUGAGCUGCAGGCGCUGGCUCUCGGGGGCACGGCUCAGCCGGCGGAACUCCCCAGGGAGGAGGACACGGGUGAGAAAGACCUCCCGUGGCACCGCAGGCUAGGGGAGGCAGGGAAGGGCUUAGCUGUUGUUUUAGAGACGUUGUAAAUCCAAGGGCUUUUGUUGUUCCCAAGUGGCUUUUCUUUGGAGGUGGCGUUUUGUAGGCACUGAGUGCUUCAGGCUGCGAUGCUGUGGCACUGCAGCCGAUGGGCAGAUGCCUUCCCGGCAGUGCACACCCCAGUCAGCCACUGCUGCCGAGCUCAGGCUGUGCCCAAGCCCCCCAGGAACCCCUCGGGAGCCCCUGGGGAAGGCGAGCACCCAUGCUGCCUGCUGGGCACUGCGGCCCCGACACUCUCGCUGGCCUCUCUCUCCUCUUCUCCAUCCUCCCACCUGAGUUGCUCUCGCCAUCUCAUCCCACCUCGCCAGCUGAUUGUUUAUAUGAACACGGCUUCAUUUACAGAGCGUUUCAUGGGAGUCACUUCAAAACUUCUGUUUUUCCCUUGAAGGAGGUGGUAGCUGCAGGGGGCAUCAGAGAGGACGGGGGGUGAAGGUGCCUCCGCUGGAGAGAUGCAGACCUGGCACCCCCCCCAGGGUGGCACGGGGACCAUUACUCACUCGGAGCAGCUGUCUUUACCGGCUGAGCUGACAGACCACCUCUCUUAGCUUCGCCAGUAGAGACCCAGGCUUGGGAAACUGCUGCUCCGAGUUUGUGAUCAGCCUCUUCCCACCUGCUGCCAGAGAGCUGUGCGUAGCCGUGAGGCAUUGCGGGCGGAGGGUGCCGGCUCCUUCGGCUGAAUUCUGCUGUGCAGUCUGGUAUUCUAGCUUGUACUGAAAGCCAGAGGUAAGUGUACAGCCUGUUCAACUGUGCCAGGGCACAUCGUCGUACCACAGAGAACCCCGUCGCCAGAAAAUGCCCUCCCAUGCUCCUCCUCCCUGCGGUGCAGUAUGCGGUUUGCCUCUGCCUGGGGAUGAAGGAUUCUGAGUUGUGAGCUCACCUCGUGUUAUUGUAUCCUCAUCGCCACUGGAAAGUUGAACAGUGACUUCAAAUUCACAAGGAUUCUGAGUCUGACAGCAGGAAAAAGAAAAGGUAUUCAAUGGACUUUCUGCCAGUUCCUUAAUCACAGUUACACAGACUGUAAGGUUAGUCCUGUGAGCAUCUCGUGGUCUUGGGCUCCACUCGUAAUUUAAGACUAAAAAGAUUGUGCUGUUUUAAUGAGAUCGUUUUAAAGGCCUCAGCUGACAUAUGUCUCAUUUCCAGUGCUCCCAGUAUAUGCCGGCGCUGGUGUGGAGCAGAGGGUGCCAGGCUGCCCUGCAGUGUCUUGGCCAUCGGUACCGCCCUGGCGAAGCGCGUUACCCCAUUUCGGUAGGGUUUUUAUUUAAGAAGUCCGAAGGGGAACAUGCUGCAUCCAUAUGUAGUUUGCCUGUGAUGCAUGUCAAUAUGUUCAGGCUGACUUGGCUGACAGGUGCAGACAUUCGGGUACGUGCAUCAAAAUUUGUUCACUUCACUCUCCUAAAUGAGCGUGAAUUUAGUUUCGUCUGUUGGAUUCAUGGCAAAAUUAUACUGUCUUCAAAUUCUCUUAUGCAUGUGAGCUGAGUUCUCAAUCGUGAGAGAAUGGAAAAUAGCAGUUAUAAAAAAACAUAUUCCAGGAAAUAUGUUACAGUGUAUUACGAGUUUGGAAACUAAUUAUUUUGUUUAUUAUACAAUCCUGUCAUCUCAGAGCUGAGUGAUGGCUGAAUAGGAAUUUAACAAGAAGUAGACAAAAGGGGAUGCAGGCAGCGGUGGCAGGCUGAGUGACUUAAGUGAAACUAAUUAUUCAGUUGCAUAGGAACAAUUUUCUGCUAAGAUAGAUUUCUGUAGUUCUGCUGUUGAUACAUUUCUUGUAUUCUUAUACCUUCACGGUAACAUCUAAUGACAACCAACACUGAAGGAGAAUGUUUGAAUGCCGCAUCUCGCCAACUUCACAUGCCAAGAUUCCUUGCUAAUUAUUUGACUUCAUUGCUUUAACAUAUUCUUUUUUAGGGUGAUAUCUCUUUUGGAGUACAUCUGUGAAAUGACGUACGAUGUAAUACUACUUCAUUUUUCAGUUGUUUCUUUUUAAUCCCAGGAUUGCUUUUCCAGCGUGCUGGCUGAGUUCUGCCCUCAGAGCCACGCUCCGUAAAGCAUCACGUUCCUCAGCCCUUCCAAGCUGUGAGCGUGGCCAUUAGCAGAUGGGAUUUGUUCCCCCAUUCCUCUGUGCUAUUUUGCUUUGAUACAUUUUCAGCACAGCCAUUAGCAUUUGCGGCAUAAUUUUUUUUAAGUGGCAUAUUUUUAGAAGAAAUCUGUUACGCAUUAUUUUAGAGGGUACCUGACAUCUAAAGAGCACCAUUGCCAAACAUGUUGUGCUUUAAAGAGAACAUUUGGGGAAAUGGCUAUCUUAAAAAGAUGCUGUACGAUUUAUUUGAGCAAUUUGUUUGAAAUUAUGUUCAUCAGUAUGAAUUUACUUGCCACCCAUUCUAUAGGCCUGGGUUAUGAUCUGGAAAAAGAUAAAAUGGCUGGUCAGAGCCAGUGAUAGUAACUCAGAGCUAAUUCAUGCUCAGAUCUGGGAAAGUAAUAUGAAAUUAUCGUAUUGUGCAAAUUACUGACAAAGCAAAAUAAUACUUUAAGAGGAAGACAUCAGAAUAUUUGUUUAAUUGGCAGCUAUUACUUUAUAGCAUAUUAGGAAAUAACACGGUGUAUGUUUUGUGCCAAUAAUGAAGUCUUAAUGCUCUAGGAGUUCAUCGGAGCAUCUCGCUUAGAGCAUUGCCAAGAAGGGCAGAGAGCCUGCUCUGCUUUGCAGAAAUGUCUGUGCUGUUGUGCAGAUCGUUCGAGGGCACUUUCCUGGGAACAUAACCAGGAGACGCAGAACAGGAAUUUGGGGUGAGCCGGUUGCCCAGGCUGGGAAGGAGCUGGUGGAGUCAGGGCUGGCAUCUCAGAACUGGGAACCGGUUUGUUUUGCCUGUGUCACCUUUAGCAUCGUGAGGAGUAGCUGUGCUGCCUUGAGGGAGCUGGACCUGAGGGUAGAAGGAGACGUGCUCGUGCUGGGGGCUGAGCCGGGCCCUGCAGGGUGACCGGGUCCUGCCUUUAUGGCUGCAAGAAACCUUCGAGAAAGCCUGGUGACUCAUGCGCUCAUCCUGGUAAUACCUGUGGUGCUUAACGGUUCAUUUCCAUAAAUUGCUUGCAUGAGUCAUUUAUCCUGCAUUGUAAGCAUCCAUAUGGGAAAAGCCGAAGCAGAGCUCCUUGGGACUGGAAGAGGAAAAAGGAAAGCCGGAGGCUGGAAGUGGGGCUGCCAACAGCAGGAGCAGGGCCCUUCCUUUGAGCAUCUCCCUGGGGGCCGGGGCUUGGCUUGUUUCCUCUUUAAUGGUAACUGCUGUCACUUAACAUACAGGGGGAAAAGUAAAUGCCUUUCUUCUUCUUCUUCAAAGUAAUUCUGAUGUUUCAGCCUUGAGCUCGUGGACGCAGGCACUGGUGCUGCCCUGGUGGAUUUUUCUGGGCUCGCCGGCACUGUAAUCGUGGGUCGGACACCUCUAGAUUUACACAUGCGACGUAGCUGCUUGUGGAAUGGCUUGUGUAGCCUUUGGACUAAGCAGCGCCUGCCUGCAGCCUGCUGAGGAGCCUGAGCACAGGAGUCGCAGAAGAAGCUGCCCCAAGAGGAAAAUAUAUCAUAGAAGACGGGGGGAGAAAUGGCUGUGGCUAGAGGCGAGAGAAAGAGAAGGUGAGGGGAUGGCCUGCACGCAAGGUAAGUUGAGUCUCUUGCUCAUAUCCACCCAGGUUAGAGAGGAUCCAGGCAAUGGCAGGAAAGAUCCACGCUGCUGUUGCAGGUGGGGUAGGUUUGAGCAUGACAGCAAGCAUCUACCCUCCCCUAACCUGCCUCCCUGCGGGGGCAGCUCUUCCUCCCACCCCCUCGCCACGUCCGUCUGUCAAGGCUCGGGCAUCGCUGUGAAUGAACUACAGUGCCUUGUUACAGCUUGCAUUGCCUAAUCCAAUAGGCAUGUAUUAUUGCAUUAGCACUUGGCACUUCUAUUAAAUUAUGAUCCUGUUAGUACAGAGUUUAAUUUGAGCUACAUUUAUGAAACAUAUAAAUAUACUUUCCUAGAGACAGUUGCUGCUGCCAAACACAGGCUGCAAGCUCCCUGCAAAGAGUGGAGGAACUUGCGGUCCCAGCUGGUAGCACAUCUGGCUCUGUGCAGGUGUACCCAGCCUGUCUGUAGGUGUUACAAUGGCAUCAUGCAUCUGUGGCCGUCUUCCACGUUGCAGCAAAUACAGCAUCGGUUAAAACACCUGAAUUUCAAAUGGCAUACCUAGUUGCUGCAAGGAAAAACCCCGUGGCUUCCACAAGGAUGCAAUGGUUGUGCCAGCCUGCCUCUAAAAAAACAGGCAAGAAAUCUUGAACUGACCAAAGAACACUAUUUAUGGAAAAACACAGUAACGAAGACUAGAACAAAGUUCUGUUACUGAGAACUGUUGCAGCUAUGAAAUACUCAGCAGUAACUAAAACAACCCCCACCCCCUGAUGAUCAUUUGCAUUGCAUUUCAAAUGGCCGUUGCCAAACCCCCCUUGAGCAGCCUUUGCAAAGCCUCCCGUUUGCCAUCCGAGCAGAGCUGAGAGCCGGUGUGCCAGCGCUCUGAACCGAACGAAGCCACGCUCGUAGGCUGGCGCACCGCAUCGGCACGGCAGGAGAAGCCACCGCCCGUCUCCAUCUCCCACAGCCGCCGGCUCUGUCACUGCCAGUGUCCCAGCAGAAGGAAAUUUGGAAAAUUACUCGGUGUGCUAUUUCAUAGCUAAGAUUUCUUGUCAUCCCGUGAUGCCCUUCGGUACCGAAAGGCACAACAGAGGCAGAAGGUGCCGUGACCUGCUGCGAAGGAGGGUCCCACCCCAGCUGCGGGUGACAGCCACGGCCGAGCCCACAACCCACACAGGCAGCUGGGGGGCUGCAGUCCCGGGGUGCUGCUGGCCAGCCCCCACCCCACCCACCCCCCGGCCCCUGGAGCACAGGGAACCCCUCUGGCUCUGCUGUGGAGGAGGAACAACAUCCUCCUGCCAGGGGAUUUAUCGCCAUGCUCGACGCCUCCAAGCUCUAUCCCUGCCAUCAGCCUGCUGUGUAUUAGGUGGCUGGGGGAUAUAUGGGGCUUGAGUUGCCAGGUUUUAAUCUUCUGAUUUUGAAAGCUCAUCUUUUCAAACUAGGUGGCUUCAACUUUUUUCCUCUGCCCACCCUUAAAACAUUUCAGUGCCUCAAAUGUUAAAUCUUGUAGAUGCACAACUGCUGGUAACACAGGGCCGGGGAAGAAUGGUGCGGGUCUGAAAAGGUAGCAAAGAGCAACCAAGUGUUCAUUUCUUAAAGAAAUGCCUGUGCUUUUUCCAUGAAUAUGAAAUGUUCAGUGUGAGGUACAGAAGAUCGCAUUUUGAGACAGAAGGUAACAAAUGGGAACAGUGAGUAACCAUUUGUUUUCAUGCCUGUAUUUCCAGGACUCUGUGCACUUGAAGUACCAGGUAACUGUAGUCCUUAAACAAACACAGUGGGUUUUAGUAAUAAGCCCAUUUCUAUCUGAAAUCUUCCCCAUCCCUCACACGUGGGUGCAUAGCAAAACGUGAAGUUGUGGCACAGAGAGAUCGCUGAAGUGGUAAAUCAUGACAGGCAGAUAGAUCUGCUCUCGGAAAGAGCAGAACAUUUGGACAAUGCAUUCACCCAAAGGUUUUGUAUCUAGUCAGAAGUUAUUUCGGUAACAAGAUCUGACAAAAAGUCCAUUCAAUAGUUGCAGAUCAGGCUGGGAUUUAUGGAGCUUGGGGGAAUAAAGUGCCUGAUUUGAUUUAGAUGGGUCUUUAACCUUAAGCAAUGCCCUCUAGAGAAUAAUGCUGGAUUUGGUAUUUCUUCCUGGAUUGUUUCUAUCUUUAUAUUUUAAAGAUACCAAGAUGGUUGUUAGUGAGAUUUUUAUGGUAACCUGUCAAAUUAAGCGGAGUGCUUGGGCUUGAUGGCUGCGUUUGUUGGUCCCCUGUGCUGCCGCAUGGGCCAGCUCGGGGACACAGAGGUGGGUCACUUGCAGUGAGCAGGACCAGAGGACCCGUGAGCAUCCGCUCCCUCCUGCCGGAGCUGGACUGGGAAUGCUGGUGAUCCAGCGUGGUGCGGGGCUUGGAGGGGUUUCUCCAUGGUGCUGGGUGCGCGGGGGCUGAAAUCUCAGUGCAAGGCAGUGGUACAGCCGUUUGGUGGUGGCAUCCUCCCUGUGCCCUUCGGAUAUUUACCUCUCGGAGCGUGGCAAAGGUGAUGCUUCCCACAUGUCCACAACAAGCUUCCUGCUCUGCUUCCCCUGAAGUCGGUGGAGAUUUGCCAGUGACACCGACAGGAACGAUUAAUUCAGUGUUUUCAGUAGCUCUACCCUAGAGGAUUUUAGGAAGCACUUUGAAUUAAGAAAACGCUUGUUUGCCUGUGCCUUAGUCCACUUGCCUUUCCUCUGACACUAUGAGGUGGAUUUUAGAAACUCAAGCACUUAACGUCUAAACUCUCUGAUGUUACAACGUUGUUGGUUGGGGUGUGCUGACAUCAGCAAUCACAGGGAUGCUCCAGCCAGCAAGGACAGCUUUGGCUGCAAGAAACAAGAGGAAAAGAAUUCCUGCUGCAGAAUUGAAAGCACUCUAAAUAUGUCAGAUUCCUAAAUUAAAGGGAUUAGGUACAAAAUAACGGGGAUUAAAAAUAAAAUAAGUCAAAAACCACUUUAAAAUGUACUAUCGGAGACCUGGUACCACCAUGGACUUUGGCCUCUGUCCUGUCGCUGGGAUUCAGACGAAAGCGUGAAGAGCCCUUGGCAGGGAUGCGGCGCUCGGUCCGACUGCGCGGCUCUGGCUUGGGGGGAGGACGUCAUGCUGCAUUAAUCUUGCCAUCUUCAGAGGGCUGGACUUGCCAGGAACCUCCUGUGGCUUUUUGUGUCUCUGAUCCCACAAACCAGCGAUAAACCUCGCCUAGCCAGAUAUUAGACCAGAUUUACAGCUGUGCUGCGCCCGGGCGGUAUGACACAGCCAGAGCCCAGGGGUGUCUUUGGUGUUGUAAUUUUGCUUCCCCUGAUGUUCCCAAACGGCCAGUGCCAGGGUACAUGAAAACACAAACAGCUUUGCUGCAAAUACCACAUCCCUAGUGGUGUGUGCCAGCAUUUCUACAGCGCUUCUCCAACUGGAGUUAUUUGGCACCUGACGUCGUGUCAUCGUACUGCUGGGGAAAAUGCCAAAGGGCAUGUCAGUGACCGUGCGGGAUUCCAUGUCACGGCAGAUGCGUGUUAAGGACACGGGGCAGCGCGUCUCUGGCCUUCUAGCCAGACCUGUUAGCAAGGGACAAGGCUCCUUUUGGCCAUGUUUGCCACGGGGCCAGCAUCCAUCUGCCUUGUGAGGAGGAUCCCUGUUGCCACUGGCCUUACAUUUCUUAGCUUUAUCACUGCGUAAACCAAUUGUCCCUGGGUGAGGUGACAUACAUCCCUCCCCACUGCGGCUGGGGACGCAGCCAUCCUGCCUGUGUAGCCCUGCAGAAGCCACCAAGCCCUCCUGCACAGGGACCGCUCAUAAGAGCAGUGGAGUUGUGGUGGUGGGAGGUUUUGCCCGGUGGUUGGCACCCUCCUGGGCUGGCCAGGCAGCUGGGCAUCCCUCCCUGGGCUGAGGUGUUCAUCAGCUCUUCCACAGCUUGUUCUCUGCUAGCCUGAGCUUCAGCCCCGGCCGUGAGCGGAGAAAGAAUGUUUUCAAGGCCAGAGAGCUGCUCUCACUGCAGAUGUUCUCCUGAUUUUGCUUCAAGCACAUGGGUGAUUUCUUCACUCCAAAAAAAAGCUAUAUUUGGACUCUAGAUUCCGCAAGCAACAAGCGCUGAGAAAAUGCCCCACUCUAUCCUGUACACCAAAUAUUCUGUGGACCGUCAGAAACUGGUUGAUGAUGGGUGGAGGAACACCUGCAGUUUGUAAACCCCACGUGGUGAAAGGUGCCAGGGCAGCCCCACCGCCUGGGAGAUUCAGUGCAACCUGUGCACUGCCCACCCCGUCCUGCACAGCUCCAAGGAGGCCCUUUAGUUAGUGCUUCAGAGCCUGUACUUGUUAGAACUUUUCUUUGCAGCUCCCUUUUCUGAAAGAUUGCAUCUAAAAAUUCUGAAUUAAUUCUGAGCAAUGGUUCAUCUGGUUUGAGGGAACAGUGUGCUGUCUGCCGUGUUCAUUUGCUCUCCUUGGCAAUGAUCGUUUUGGGGUAUAACAUUUAUAUUAUAUCCAUUAGAGCACAGAAUGGGAUGUGAAUUAUCCAAAGCUGUUCCAAUCACCACUUAAAUCUUUAUUGAUUGCAAGUAAUAAACAUAACUACGGUGUUGCUGAGACGUUAUGCCACUCAAACACUGGUUACAGGCAGCUGACAAAAGUCUACAGAUUGUUGGGUGAGAUUUUUGAGUCCCAAAGUGACUUGCUCCUGAAUCUCACCUGUAGUGGUCACCAGCUCUUCCCUGUAUUGCCUGCUGUGACUUGUGAGGAUCAGCCCAAAAACUACAAAGCCACUAGCAUCAGUACAUCCCAUCGCUUGUUCCUGGGAAAAAUGGCUCUUUCCAGGAAAAUGGGUGUCCUUUUCUUAAAUUAACAGCAUUAACAGCACUUAUGAAAGUGAACCUAAAAGGUCAUUAAUCAAAUUAAAAACCUGUUAUGAUUUAUAAUUUGAGAGGGGCAGAAGUUAUGCCUUCUCACAUUCGGACUGGUAAAGAACUAUUUCUUUGAUGAUUAGUUUAGUUUUGUUCUACUUCACACUUGUUCUGGCCAGAAAGAAAUAUAAUGCCACCGGUUUUCUCAACGAGGAUAAAAAUUACUGCCACUAGCCCCAAACUGGUGCUGUGGUGAGGAGGUGGGGCGAGAAAUCCCUCAGACAGGGUGAGGGUAUCUCAAAGAGAAGUAAGAAGAGGGAGCAGAUGGCUCCUGCAUCAUCGUGUUCCCUCUUCUCCAUAUUGACGGUAUGGAUGGAAGAUAGUGAUGAAAUAGAAAUGUAAUGGAUGCUCUACAAAGGGCAUACGGCAGCACGCUUUUCUGAGGGUUGAUCUCACAUGUCGGCGUGGUGAGCAUCUUCAGCUGGGAAGCAAUGCUGCAUUUUGGAGGAGACCCCAGGCCACCCAGUGAAGGCAAGAGGUUCCCUUUGAGAUGGUGCCACCUUGCCGUUGAGAAAAGACUGGCAUAGCUUAGCUUCUAGCAGUAACUGAUGGCUGAUGAGGGGAAGGUAAUGCUGCUGGCACCCGAGAGGGGUCUUCUAACAGGGGAGCAGAGAAGCAAAACUGCUGAAACACCACUAAAACCCACCCCUGUCCCAGGCUUAAGGUCAUGUUGGUAGCAGACUCAUAAUAAUGCCAUAGGUGGGCACCGAUCUUAAAAGUCGUGCCUCUCUUAAAUAAAUCAGCCAUAGCAAAUGGCUUCGUUUGCCACUGGGGGCAAUACUGUUGAGUGUGAGGCUCCUGGUACUGUCUCUCCAGACUCAAGUCUUCCAGCCAUUCAUAGACGCCAGCAAAAAAAAAUCUCAGCAGGUUUGGUAAAGCUGCUUAACAGAUCCAACCUUGCAUGGGUAAGCCUGUAUCGGCCCUACCUAGCACAUCUGAAUGAAAAGCACAAGCAAGUAAACAAAAAAAAAUCCUUUCGUUAUGGUGAGGAAUUAAAACAUGGCAGGUUUCUGCCCCAAGAAUACCAUCCGGUGGCAUGCAGAACGCUGACAUCCCGAUGCUAAUUGCUUCCACUUGUUUUCUUGGGUGUACUGAGUGCAACAGGAGAGCACGAGCUCUCAAACCUCUGAACAUUUUACUUUGAUAAAAGCAACCAAACUAGUAGAGAGCUGGUCUGGAAACCACACAGGAGGAGAUGAAAAAGAAGCGGGUCAUAAAUUAAAGCAGAGGAAAAACAGCUGAAGCCACCCGGGAAAGGGCUGAGGACCUCAUAGGAUACCCCAUACAGCCCAACAACAGCAACCUAAUUAAAAAAGCAUCUGGAAAGCACAAAACUGUUCCAGGAAAAAGAUGAGCAAAUGGAAGUCUUUUGAGGUAGAGACCCAGAAACUGAGCAAAUGAUCCUCUCAGCUGUUUUUGGAGCGGCGCAGCUGGCCAGGGAGACAGGCAGGCAGCUGGGACACAUCCUUCCCCUAGGGCCCAGACCAGUCAUUUAGUUCUCUCAAUUCCUCUGCGUCUAAGCAAUAAAAAAAAAAAAAAUCCCCCUUCAAACAAACAGUGUCUGGGCAAGCUAUGAAAAAUCCCUUUCCUACAUCCAGCAGCCCUCGCUCGCAGAAGAGCCCUGCGCUUCCCUCUGGAACAGCCAACAGAAAGCUUUGGAACUCAGUAGCCUUCGACCUGCGGCGUGGGACGGGCUGGGUUGCAAGCCUAGGUGUGCACGGAGGAGUCACAUCCAUCCCAUGUGCAGCGCUGAGCACUCGGUGAGGAAAGUGCCACGGUCCGGAGUUGCCCUCCUGCACCUCCGUGGGGACCUCGGGCCAAGCCACGCAGCAGCAAGAAUUCCUUCCUGGCAUCUUCUGUUUAGGAACACCGUUACACUUUUCCCAACGUGUUUUUGGGUUCUUUACAAAAGUGUUGGGUUGUAGAGCAACGGAGGCAGUGGGUUGAUCAGCACUGAUAACAUGCAGCUGUGGCCUCACCUCAGAGGCAGUGGGUUCUUUGACAUGGACGAUGUGCAGGUGUAGCUUGUUCCUGCUAAGUGGUUAAAUAGCCCUGAGGAGGGGGGAGGGGUGGUUGGAUGGAGGAGGAGCAGUGUGGUCUGACCUCUGGAGGAAGGAGAAACAGCAUGGACAGUAGACUCUGACCAAUGGUAAAAGCCUUGUUGCAGCAUACUAGUUUAUGUUGCAACCCCAUGUUGGACUGUCUGAUUGAACAGGGCUAGAUAGCUCCUUGGAGACCAGCAACUGGAAAAUACACCAGCAGCCAGGGUCAGUUUUCAAUGUAUUUACUUACCUGGGAGCUGAGGUGGCCGGCUGGCACCGGCUGGCACCGCAUCCUUGGCAUCAGCUGGUGUCGCAUCCCUGCGGGUGAGAUGCUGGAGCAGGGGCUGUGGGGGCAUCGCACUGUCUCCCACCCUCCGGUUGCUCAAGCAUGGGGGCGCAGCUCAUGCAUUAAGAGGUUUGGGGAUGAAUUUCCUGGAAGCAGACAAAAUUGUUCCUUAGGAAUUGCUCAAACAAGCUGUGCUUUGCGCUCCACAAAUCGGUGCCUUUUCUAGCAUGCCGAGAGGGCGUCUUUGCUCAGGAACAUCCCAGCGCAGUAACGGAGCCAAGGGAGGCCGGGAGCUCGCUCCGGCAAACCUCCCGGUCAUCUGCGCUGGGGGGACAGGACAGGUGAAGGCAUCAGCUACUGCUUCAUGGCAGACCGUCAUCCCCUGUCCCCCCUGACGCAAGCGGCCAGGCAGGGGGCUCAGCCCCGGAGCACCCCUGAAGGCUGGCACAGGCACAUGGAGCAAAUCACCGCUGCCCGGGCCGAGCCAUUGCUGUGCCUCACCUGACAAACAGGGCAGUGACAAAUGAUAGCGAAAACCCCAGUUUAGGCAAAUUCCCAUCUGUUUAGUUAAGAUAAUUUUAGUUUACUUUUUUUUUUUGGCAGUUGUGUGUGCACAAUUAACUGCAAUCUUGGCUUUAAAAAAAAAAAUAAAGCACCCUAAUUAGCA